rnacentral:rRNA from 1 species
ACUCCUACGGGAGGCAGCAGUGGGGAAUUUUGGACAAUGGGCGAAAGCCUGAUCCAGCAAUGCCGCGUGCAGGAUGAAGGCCUUCGGGUUGUAAACUGCUUUUGUACGGAACGAAAAAGCUCCUUCUAAUACAGGGGGCCCAUGACGGUACCGUAAGAAUAAGCACCGGCUAACUACGUGCCAGCAGCCGCGGUAAUACGUAGGGUGCGAGCGUUAAUCGGAAUUACUGGGCGUAAAGCGUGCGCAGGCGGUUAUGUAAGACAGAUGUGAAAUCCCCGGGCUCAACCUGGGAACUGCAUUUGUGACUGCAUGGCUAGAGUACGGUAGAGGGGGAUGGAAUUCCGCGUGUAGCAGUGAAAUGCGUAGAUAUGCGGAGGAACACCGAUGGCGAAGGCAAUCCCCUGGACCUGUACUGACGCUCAUGCACGAAAGCGUGGGGAGCAAACAGGAUUAGAAACCCCAGUAGUCC